UGGAGAGGAAGAGAGAUCAAUUAAAAAGCCAGUAUGAGGAGGAGGAGAUUAAACACACAUAUCUGCUCAGGAAGGAGAUCAUACACACAUAUCUGCUCAGGAAGGACAACAUACACACACACGUCUGCUCAGGAAGAGGAGAUUAAACACACAUAUCUGCUCAGGAAGGAGAUCAUACACACAUAUCUGCUCAGGAAGGAGAUCAUACACACA